UACGGGAGGCAGCAGGGGGAAUAUUGCACAAUGGGCGCAAGCCUGAUGCAGCCAUGCCGCGUGUAUGAAAAGGCCUUCGGGUUGUAAAGUACUUUCAGUCGUGAGGAAGGUGUUAAGGUUAAUAACCUUAGCAAUUGACGUUAGCGACAGAAGAAGCACCGGCUAACUCCGUGCCAGCAGCCGCGGUAAUACGGAGGGUGCGAGCGUUAAUCGGAAUUACUGGGCGUAAAGGGCACGCAGGCGGUUAAUUAAGUUGGAUGUGAAAUCCCCGGGCUUAACCUGGGAAUGGCAUUCAAGACUGGUUAGCUAGAGUCUUGUAGAGGGGGUAGAAUUCCAUGUGUAGCGGUGAAAUGCGUAGAGAUGUGGAGGAAUACCGGUGGCGAAGGCGGCCCCUGGACAAAGGACUGACGCUCAUGUGCGAAAGCGUGGGGAGCAAACAGGGAUUAGAUACCCGU
rnacentral:rRNA from 1 species